GUUGCCAAAACCAGAACCGCCCCAAACAGUGUGCAGCUGCAUGUGUUUCCUCUAAACACUCAUUUGGCUACAUGGGCAAACGCGAGCCUGCAUUAAGACUCCGUUUUGGCCCUUUUCCUAGCAACAAGCGGUCUUUUCAUCUAACUCUAGUCAUUAUUUGUUUGUUUAUUUUUUGUUUUUCCUUUGAGUAGCAGUAGUAAUAGUGAUAGGGCGUGUUGUAUAGAGAGUUCUCGAGGCGUUAACCGCUUUUUUUCUGGGCUAAACUCCAUUCACACAAGCAGGAAGAUUUGAAUCUGCGGCGAGUCUGACGCUCUGGAGAAGUGGGCGUGGCGUCGCGCCGGACAGACUCAACGCAGGCUACACUCCAUGAAUGAGUCAAGUCCACGACGAGCCGAAGGGGGAAAAGAAACAAAUUCAAACUUAAAGAAAGAGACAAACGCUGUUAGAGCCAUUUAUUUAUUUAUUUAUUUAUUUAUUUAUUUAUUUAUUUAUUUAUUUAUUUAUGGCGCAGAAACAGUUUUGUGCAAAAGCUCAUACUCUAUAUUAAGUUAGUUAUUCUAACCGAACAGUCCGAAGGCUCAGUACUCACUCUACUAGAAUAAAGGGUCACUAAAGGAAGAGCCAAUCAGCCACAUUUCUACAACCUAACAAAACUGAGGACCAGGUCAUCUCAGGUAUCCAUGUUUUUGGAUCCCUAUGCUGCAUCUAUCUAUUUUUUUUUUCAUACAUACAUCUAUGAAAUUCAGCUCUGCUCUGAGCACUGAGGUUGUCUAGUCGAAGCCACCUGAACUUUAUACCUGCUUAAAAUAACCCUGCCUAGAUCAGCCAAUUAGCAGAGUGCAGUAGGCAGUGACUCACUCCUCUGGUAUACCCACACAUACGCACUCACAUUGUCCUACUUCUGAUGUAAAGCCUGCAAAGCCUGGGCUGGUCCCGGGUUCAUUUUCAAAGGAAAAAAGAAACUAUACGUCUUAGUGAUUAUACCAGAGAUGGACAUACGCAUUCAUAAAUAAGUAAAAGUGGUGUAUUUAUUUAUUUUUAAUGUAUCAGCUCAUUAAGCACAUUUUAUACACAAAUGACAAAUUGUGUCCUCAAAUCAAAUAAAUCACACGUGAUCAGUUUUAUUGCUGUAAUAAAAACUUGUCAUAAGGCCAGGAAAAGCUAGAUAUUAUGUGAGCGAUGUUUCAGGAGGAACCCUGCGGCCCUGCUGCUGCACUUGUUGACACUUCCUAGUGGGGAUUUUUCAGGAGGAGUCCUGAGGUGACAGAAUGAAAGGGCCUAUGGGAUGACUAACACCUCUGGAAAGUACACAACGAUUCCAUAAGAAAGCCACUGCCCUGGGGUGAAGCAGGGGGCAAACAGCCCACAGGUGAGCAGGAUCAUCGCCCUCGAGGAGUCUGAGGCAAACCAGAGUGACAAGGUUUUUUUUUUUCUUUCUUUAAGGUAUAAUUCACCCAGAAAUGCUGACAACAAAUAAUAAUGCUAGAUUGCAGCAAAUGAGUGUGAGUCAACUGAAUGUAGAUCUUAACUUUCGUUUGUUUUUCUUUGCUUAUUAUUGACAGUGUGCUUCUGGUGAAGGACUUUAUUUAUUGAUUGAUUGAUUUUGAAGAUGCUGGUUUUUAUUAGCACUCUGCAAACAAGAGCAUCAGCACUAAACACUGAGCUAACAAAAAAUGGGGUUUUUUUUUUGCAAGAUUUCAGAGGGUUCCUCAAAGAAAUCAGUUCGACAGCCAUUCCUGUCAGGCCUUGUUUGAAUUGCAGUGUUAUCAAAUGCAAAGAAACACAAGAGAUGAUAAUGUAUCUUGAUUUGGCCAAACCCUGGCAGAAAUUAAGCCUGUAUAUUUAUUCUUUGUAAGAGGUUGAGUGACACACUUUUUCCAUGACUCCAGGGAAGGCCACUUCUUGUGCCUGUCCUCUUUUGAGUCUCUGAUGAGACCAGCACAGUUACGCUCAAACAACUUCUGCAACCCCCUUUCUUCCUGUAAACAGCUGUGUGUGUGUGCGUGUGUGUGUGUGUGUGUGUGUGUGUGUGAGAGAGAGAGAGAGAGAGAAAGAGAGAGAGAGAGAGAGAGCGCGAGCACUGCUGUUUUUAUUUGCUCUUGGUCACCAUUACCAGCUUUGGAAGUGUCAAGGUAUAGGUCUUGAGUUUGUUUUUUUCCCCUCAAUGCACAAAGUUAAACGUUUAACUUGUGGUUCUGUCUGUCUGUGUAAAUAAAUUGCCCAUGAUCUUGAAUUGCCUAGGUUUAUAUGCAAAGUUAAUAUUGUUCUAUCCUGCCUCCUGUCUGUUUGUUUGUUUGUUUGUUUGUUUGUUUGUUUGUUUGUGUUUCCUUAACUAAUGGACCUGUGACAAACCCACGCAUGAUUUAGCCAAUUAAACAAGGAAAUGACUCAUUAUGUGCUCCACAAUGGACUGAUGACCCAACAAGCAUGACUUCUCCUGCCUGUUACCAGGAUAUGCUCUGGAUCCAGCGAGACCCUGAUUAGGAAAAAACAACAGUUACAGAAGAUGAAUGAAUGAAUGAAUGAAUGAAUGAAUGAUUCAGAUACUUACAGGUAAAAAAAAUAUGCUAGUACACUAGUGUGUUUGUCAUUUUUGAAAGAAAUGAAUUGCAAUUUGAAUGCUAUUAUGAGCAAUAUAACUUUCACAUGACUAACAUUAAGCUUGAGAAUAAAAAGCGGUAUCUGAACAAAACAAAAAAAUGUUCCAUUGUCUCUAGUUACAGCUGGCUGUAAACCAAACUGUACAGGAAGACUUACAUUAAAUAAUCGACCACAUUUCAAACCACAUCUUUGGCUCUUGUCUGUUUCCAGAGAAACCAGUGAAGAGAAGAGACUAGAUAACGCUAUGGUUUGUUGAGGGAUAUUCAGUUCAACAGUAGAAAGUUCUAGAAAGCAUACAAUGAUGAUCACAGCUUCGAUAAUGCUGAAGUUCGAACACUAAACAUGCAGUGCUGUGACCUUCGUGCUUCUUCUGUACACUACUGGAAAUGAAGUCAGGAGUAUUUCAGUGGUAUUAGGCCAAAUACAAUAGCUGAACAAUUUCUCACUUCCUAUUUCCCCGGGUUUCUCUUUCACUUUGGACCUUCCUUUCACCUCUCUCCAACCGCCUUUAUUUACAUAAACUAGCUCAUACUCACUGAGGAACUUCAGUGUACCUUGUUUUUUGUUUUGUUUUUUUGCAGUCAUAUUUUUGCUUCGUUUCCCUGAAAGCACGCAUUCAAUUUUUUUGACAUUCGUAGUUCUGUAUCAUUUGACAACUAAUUUUUUUUAAUUUAGUUUAAUUUUGCCAGUGUUGGUGAUUUAGACUUAGAGUCAAAUAACUGAAAGUAAUUUUAACUCGUCUGAUUUUUCAGCCAGUCUGGGCUUUGAUUAAAUGGCAAACAAAAAAAAUAAUACAGUGGUUACUAUCUAAAGUAAAUCCUGUCUCCUAAAUUGUGUUACUUAAACUAAACUAAACCGACUUCUCACCAAAACCAAGCUACUUAAUUCUUACCACAAAGAAGACAAAAAAAGCACUGACCAACACAACUGCUGUCCCAAAUUACUGGUACAUCCAUACAUGGAACUGAUAUUGCUAACUAAAUUAACCAUCUAGAGGUUAAUAUUCUUGAAGAUGUCAACUAGAAGAUGUCACUAUUCCUCAAACAGAUGUGUUCAAGGGUGUCAUUUAAUCCUUUGCUUUUUCUUUUUGCUUGAUCAUCAUCAUACUCAGGAAGUCCUUCAAAUUGUCUAGAAAUCUAUUUUAGACAUCUGUACACUUGGUUACUUCACUGUUGCUUGUGCUAAAUUGGUAGAUGUGUGUUUGUGUAGACGCAUGUUCCUACACCAGGGUCCCACUUCCCAAAAACAUGCUGGUAAGUAGACUGGCUAAGAGAAAAUGACUGUGUGCGUGUGUGUGUGUGUGGAGGUGGUGCAAUGCAAAUGACCGGCAUCCCAACCAGGGUGUACAGUAUCUCCCACUCAGUGUUCUCAGGAUAAGCUCUGGAUCUAGCAGGAUGAAACUAUGAACCAGGUCUUCACUUCAAACAGGAAGGAAGACAAAAGAUCUAAAGAUGAAGUGUAGCUUUCCCACCUCUUCUGUAUGACUAAUUCACAUAAAGCAUGGGAGAUCAGCUGAGGCAUCAGAGGAAGCCAGAUCGACAUCAACAAAGUGAGUGACACAUGCAGUGCAGAGAAGUUCUUCACACAAAACCAAGAUACUUCUUAUUUACAGUUUAAGUAAUCAGUGGGUGUUCCAAUUUCUGGUUGCCAUAGUAAUAACAUUUCUCAGUGGGCGGAGGAACUAACAUUCUACUUGACAACAAGUAUAAAACUCAGCAGUGUAUAACUGCAUCAUAUCAUAUGAGAUGAAGGAGAAGCAGUGUGAACGCUUUGUCACAGAUCACAUGCUCUCUACAGUCUUCACUCCCACUGGUAGUCACUGCAUCAAGUUGCUUCAUAUUUCCAUAAAGUUCUACUUUUCUUAACUUUGUUGCGUCACUGGACACGCCCACAUAUUGUCCCCAAAGCUCGCUGUCACUCAAGUCACUGGGAGGCAUUCAACUUGUUAGUAUUUAGUGACUUUACCUUUUUAUUACCUGACUUCACUACAUAAAAAUGACAUUUUAGGGAAUAAAAAUAUCUUAAAACUAGUCAAAUCUAUUACAAUAUUAAAAUCUAACCGAACCAAAGAAUAAUUUAAUUCAAUUUAUUUGUA